GCCGGAAACAACAAGAGCUACGAAUGCCAUAUUAUAACACUACUCGAACUCGCAAGACAACAUGGGAGCCACUGUCUUGUCCUUGUCUGGAGCACGGUGUGAUGCUGAGGAAAGAACAGGCGCUCCUUGACUGAGUCUCAGCGGUGAUCCAAAAUGAAAUCCUGCGGUAUUUAGCGGACCGUUUUACUGCUUGGUUGGAGGUGGAGAGGU